rnacentral:misc_RNA from 1 species
CAACCCUCGAGCCCCCGUGGCCCGGCGUUGGGGAUCUGCCACGGCAGGCCCCUAAAACCAGUGGCGGACCCGAAGGGCCCUCUCCUUUGCGCAGUAGCAUCAGCCUCGCCUCGGGAGUCCUCGGCGUCCUGCCUCUAAACCCCCUACAAGCCCGCUUCGGCGGCACCAA